rnacentral:snoRNA from 1 species
GGCAUAAGUGCUGGCAUAUAUUAACUGAGCUGAGCUGAUGUCUGUCACCACGUUAGCUCUAGAAUUACUCUGAAGCCCA